GGGAAAAUAACAGACAAUUAAACACAAUUCCCUGGUUUAUUUAAGUGCAAUAAACUAAAUACAGUUCACGAAAUAACGACUCAUCACCAUGCUUGGAAAGCCCUUACUUAACUAAAUUUUCACCCAAAGAAUUGUUAAUGAUAUACCCUUUUUGAACCUUGACCUUAAACAUUAUGAAAACCCUUGAUUGAAUUGAUUUACCUUGAGUUAGAGUUGAGAAUAAGUAUAUGUAUUGGAAAGGUUCAAGUUUGGGGUUGAAUAGGGAAAGUGAAAGGCAAAAGAAAAAGAAAAGCAUUGAGUUCAAAAGAAUGAAAAAGAAAAAUGCAUGAGAAAGAAGAAAAAAAAAAGAGAAAAGAGAAAAAAAGCAUGUAAAGUGAACUCAAUGUAAAAUGAAAAAGGGAAAAGUUGGGAAUGAGUGAGAUUGGUUAAAAAAAAAGAGUGUGCUUGAACUUUGAAUGAUAAUUUAAACUCUCUUAACUCAAGGAUUUUGUAUUCCAGAAAAACCAAUUUUCUUGUUAGCCCAGCCACAAUACAAGCCUUGGAAAAAGUCCUUGGCAUGACAUAUGCAUGUGAAAGAUGUUGAUUGUUUUAGAUGAUUGACAUAUUGUUUUAUGUGACAUGUGAACAGUAGAGAGUAGAGUGACCUCCUUAAAACACUUGAGUGUUUGAGUGAAACACUUGCUUGGUGAGAAUUGUUAAAU
rnacentral:lncRNA from 1 species